CAUCAUGACCAGGAGCACCCGAGUGAUACACACAAUGCUGUUCAGGCCUAUACCACCACCGAGGGUUGACGGGUAUGGGCGGCGGGUCUCUAGGAGUGAUCAAGUUCCGCUCUAUCAGAGUGGGAUACAGUUCGGCGUAGGACAUGGGGAUUGGAUCAAAAAUGAUCUUCUUCCUCUCAUUACUUGUACCAGCUUGAUUGUCAAUGGGAGGCUGAUAAGCCUGCUGCUGAGGAU
rnacentral:lncRNA from 1 species